GAUGAACGCUAGCUACAGGCUUAACACAUGCAAGUCGAGGGGUAACGAGAGGGAAGCUUGCUUUCCUUGUCGACGACCGGCGCACGGGUGAGUAACGCGUAUCCAACCUGCCCCCAACUAGGGAAUAACCUUGCGAAAGUAAGACUAAUACCCUAAAAUUUCCUCAGAUGUCAUCUGACGAGGAAUAAAGAUUUAUCGGUUGUGGAUGGGGAUGCGUCUGAUUAGCUUGUUGGCGGGGUAACGGCCCACCAAGGCAACGAUCAGUAGGGGUUCUGAGAGGAAGGUCCCCCACAUUGGAACUGAGACACGGUCCAAACUCCUACGGGAGGCAGCAGUGAGGAAUAUUGGUCAAUGGGCGGAAGCCUGAACCAGCCAAGUAGCGUGCAGGAUGACGGCCCUAUGGGUUGUAAACUGCUUUUAUACAGGAAUAAAGUUAGCCACGUGUGGUUAUUUGUAGGUACUGCAUGAAUAAGGACCGGCUAAUUCCGUGCCAGCCGCCGCAGUAA
rnacentral:rRNA from 1 species